rnacentral:ncRNA from 1 species
UAAAGGCUUGGUCCUGACUUUACUGUCAACUUUAGCUAGAUUUACACAUGCAAGUAUCCGCACCCCUGUGAGAAUGCCCCCCAGUUUUCUACCCGAAAACAAGGAGCUGGUAUCAGGCACACCCCUACUAUUUAAGCCCAUGACACCUUGCUUAGCCACACCCUCAAGGGAAUUUCAGCAGUGAUAAACCUUAAGCCAUAAGUGAAAACUUGACUUAGUUAAAGCUAAGAGGGCCGGUAAAACUCGUGCCAGCCACCGCGGUUAUACGAGGGACCCAAGUUGACAGAAACCGGCGUAAAGCGUGGUUAAGGAAAACUAAAACUAAAGCCGAACACCUUCAGGGCAGUUAUACGCAUCCGAAGGCACGAAGCCCCACCACGAAAGUGGCUUUAUAGCCCCUGACCCCACGAAAGCUAUGGCACAAACUGGGAUUAGAUACCCCACUAUGCUUAGCCGUAAACAUUGAUAGGAAAAUACACCCCCUAUCCGCCCGGGUACUACGAGCAUUAGCUUAAAACCCAAAGGACUUGGCGGUACUUUAGAUCCCCCUAGAGGAGCCUGUUCUGUAACCGAUAAUCCCCGUUCAACCUCACCCUCCCUUGUUUAUCCCGCCUAUAUACCGCCGUCGUCAGCUUACCCUGUGAAGGACUAAUAGUAAGCAAAAUUGGCAUCGCCCAGAACGUCAGGUCCAGGUGUAGCGCAUGAGAGGGGAAGAAAUGGGCUACAUUCGCUAAUGUAGUGAAUACGAACGAUGUACUGAAAACGUACAUCCGAAGGAGGAUUUAGCAGUAAGUAGAAAAUAGAGUGUUCCACUGAAGCCGGCUCUGAAGUGCGCACACACCGCCCGUCACUCUCCCCAAGCAACUAGAACACAUAACUAAAAUGCUUAAAACCGCAUAAGGGGAGGCAAGUCGUAACAUGGUAAGUGUACCGGAAGGUGCACUUGGUUAAAAU